GUGUUGUAGAAAAGAGACUGUAAACGCUUCCCUUGACAAGGAUGGAAGAGGUCCCAGUGGCCUUUGCGACACACAUACGGCUAAAACACUGCCACCUACUUAGUGGUAUCUCUAAACAAGUUUUUAA